AUAGUCUUUAAAAUGUAAUGUUCAUAGAAAUAGUGUUUUUUAACCACUUUCUUUCGUAUUGUUUAUUACUUUUGGUGUUAUCUCCCGUAGUUGUCAUGAGCUAUUUUUUAACCCAAAUUUGAGGAUGUAGGUCAAGCUGAACCAAAGGCAUUUUCCAUCAAAUUAGGAAUUUGUUGGUCAAGCACCUGCUGUACAUAGAACAACAAUCCAUUACAGCUUUGACUAUGCCAAGCAGGUCUUCUACCCAUACUAGGCACAGCAAGAGUGCCCUGCUUUGAAGUGUUCUGUAAAUCAUAUGGUUCACAGAUAUCUCAGUGAUGGAGGGUUUAGCUGUUAUGUGGCCAAUGGUGUGGUACCUCAUUUUCAACAACAUCCAUAUAGAGAAGACUCUGCAUACCUGCACAUUGACAACUAUGUUGGGUGGAAUAAAAACAAUGCAGUCAUUGGGGUCUGAUGUAUUCUGAAGGGAGAGAAACAGCAUUUACUUAAAUGAAUGCAGGUGACAUAAAGUUCAGUGCUGUGUGAGAUUUGGUCUGUGGAAGACCAAAUGGAGGCAGCACACAUCCUUUGUGGAUUGAUGACCUUGGCAAACUGGUUAUAUUCUUUGACUGGUUGGAGUACACCAAGUGACCCCUGAAGUCCAUUCCAAACUUAAGGAAAUAUCAUCACUUCAGAACUUCAGCUGACCACCCAGUGAGUGAAUUCAUGAGAGAGCAUGCCAAGGACAGUGAGAUUGAAGUUAAAAUUGACAAGCCCACAACAAUGGCUUUUCCAUUGAGAGUACCCUGAACACAUCCAACUAAAAGGACUUAAUGCAAAAAGGCUCUGAUCCCUUAAAUAAGUGAAAAAGCUAAUAUACUGAUAUGUGAUCUUUAUAAACUAAAUAUAAGAUUUGAGAAUGAGCCUGUUACUGAGCUGAUGAAAGCGUGUAUCAAUUCUUUAUUGACAAUUAUUUAUUCAAUAGAAACAUGUUCAUGUGAUAUGAAGCUACCAGUGAUUUUGAGUGAAAAAACUGUGGUUUUAGCAAAUGAUUGAUAGAAGGGUGCUACACCCUGUCUUUUGACGGUAGAGCCCCUCUGCCAUAAUGGAGACCAGUAUAUGAUUAUUAUUAAUACAAACUUAAAACAA